GUCCCAGUAAGCUAUUUCAGUGAGUCAGCAUGUACAAUACCAGGACCUCUCCUAAGUGGAAUGCAGCCAUCAUUAAUGGGUUUGAAUAAACCUGUGCUUUUCCUACUAUGACAUGUCAACAUGUCUGCUGUGAAAAAGGCCUAUAAAGGUAUAAGACACACCUUCUCACACACCUUCCUUCUCCCACCUGUUAGAUAAAGCUCCACCUUUGCUCCAUAUUAACCAGGCAGCACCCUGGUGUUAUGCAAUAACCGUGUAAAUCAGAGGGAGGAAACCCAACAUCAGAGCUGCAGUAAGAGGAGGAGCAACACUGGAAAGAGGAGAGCUUCAACGUCACACUCCAGAAAGUAAAGUGAAGUUUGUCAGAGUGUCAGCCACGCUGCAGUCGAGACAAGUCUCUGUUUCUCUCUGAAAGAAAAGUCAAACUGACUUCAUCAGGUCUUUCUCAACAACACAGCAGAGUCUCUGCCAAACACUGUCUGUUCUGCCAGAGCACACUGAGCCUCAGUUGCUACUGAAAUCUGAUUCACAAUACAAGUGUCCCCUUUGUGAGAAGAAGGGAGACUUCUAUAAGCUGGUCCCUCAUUUACAGGGCCACAAGCGGAACACCGUUAAACAUGCAGGUAUUUUUAUUUGGAAAACAUACAAUGUGAUAUUAAAUAUCAUGUUUUAUUGGAAUAACUGACUAGAAAUAUAUUUUGGUAUCGGCUCAUGUGGUGAACAAUGAAUGAAAUGUAAGUUAAUACAUGUAUUCAAAUUGAAUAAGCAACUUUGAGUAAUAAUAAUGUGUACAUACUGUAUACAGCAAACUAUAUUUGGACUAUUGAAAGAGAGCUACAACACCACGGAAUUAAAACAACAUUUCAAUUGACCUUUUUCACGGCAAACAUGUUGACAUGUCAAAGUAGGAACAGCACAGGAGUAUUCAAACCCAUUAAUGAUGGCUGCAUUCUACUUAGGAGAGGUCCUGGUAUUGUGCAUGCUGACUCACUGAAAUAGCUUACUGGGACACUUGAUUGAGCCAUCGUUAAGGUUAUCAGUUUCAGCUGUUCUUUUCCUACUAUGACAGUAGUCAAAAUGUCUGCUGUGAAAAAGGUCCAUAAGCAUUAGAGGAGCGUUGCAUGGAUGUAGGAAAAUAAAGACGUGUUUAAAAUUAUUUAAGACCUAGAACACAAUACCUAAAGCUCCAUUGUGUAAUUUUAUGAGUUGUUUCGUAGCGAAAACCCCUUUGUUCUUUCACAAAUAUGUGCUUAUUCAUGUGCAAUUACUUCCAACUAAUCA
rnacentral:lncRNA from 1 species